AACGCGAAGAACCUUACCCAGGCUUGACAUUCUGCGAAUCUUUCCGAAAGGAGAGAGUGCUUUAUUGAGCGCAGUAACAGGUGUUGCAUGGCCGUCGUCAGCUCGUGUCGUGAGAUGUUUGGUUAAGUCCAUCAACGAGCGCAACCCUUAUAGUUAGUUGAAUUUUUCUAGCUAGACCGCCCUGGUAACAGGGAGGAAGGAGGGGAUGAUGUCAGGUCAGUAUUACCCUUAUGUCUGGGGCUACAAACACGCUACAAUGGCCGGUACAAAGGGCUGCCAAGUCGCGAGACGGAGCAAAUCCCAUCAAAGCCGGUCUCAGUUCGGAUAGUAGGCUGAAACUCGCCUGCUUGAAGCUGGAAUCGCUAGUAACGGUAGGUCAGCACACUACCGUGAAUACGUUCCCGGGCCUUGUA
rnacentral:rRNA from 1 species